rnacentral:rRNA from 1 species
UUGACCUCGGAUCAGGUAGGGAUACCCGCUGAACUUAAGCAUAUCAAUAAGCGGAGGAAAAGAAACCAACAGGGAUUGCCUCAGUAACGGCGAGUGAAGCGGCAAGAGCUCAAAUUUGAAAUCUGGCCCCUUCGGGGUCCGAGUUGUAAUUUGUAGAGGAUGCUUCGGGUGCGGCCCCCGUCUAAGUGCUCUGGAACGGGCCAUCGGAGAGGGUGAGAAUCCCGUCUGGGACGGGGUGUCCGCGUCCAUGUGAAGCUCCUUCGACGAGUCGAGUUGUUUGGGAAUGCAGCUCUAAAUGGGUGGUAAAUUUCAUCUAAAGCUAAAUACUGGCCGGAGACCGAUAGCGCACAAGUAGAGUGAUCGAAAGAUGAAAAGCACUUUGAAAAGAGAGUUAAACAGCACGUGAAAUUGUUGAAAGGGAAGCGCUUGCGACCAGACUCGCUUCCGGGGUUCAGCCGGCUUUCGGGCCGGUGUACUUCCCCGGGGGCGGGCCAGCGUCGGUUUGGGCGGCCGGUCAAAGGCCCCUGGAAUGUAACGCCCCUCGGGGCGCCUUAUAGCCAGGGGUGUCAUGCGGCCAGCCUGGACCGAGGAACGCGCUUCGGCACGGACGCUGGCAUAAUGGUCGUAAACGACCCGUCUUGAAACACGGACCAAGGAGUCUAACAUCUACGCGAGUGUUCGGGUGUCAAACCCGUGCGCGCAGUGAAAGCGAACGGAGGUGGGAGCCCCCUCGAGGGGCGCACCAUCGACCGAUCCUGAUGUCUUCGGAUGGAUUUGAGUAAGAGCGUAGCUGUGGGGACCCGAAAGAUGGUGAACUAUGCCUGAAUAGGGCGAAGCCAGAGGAAACUCUGGUGGAGGCUCGCAGCGGUUCUGACGUGCAAAUCGAUCGUCAAAUUUGGG